CGGGGAGCGGGAGGCCGGGAAGAGCCAGCUCCAGGUCGGCAAGGCGGACGCUGCCAGCCAGAGGCCUCUGCACGGCCGGUCCGAACCCCGGCAGGCGAGCCUGCAGGUGGUGAGCAGGCAGGUCCAGGAGCCACCUACAACGUGGACUCGAGUGGCCUCACCAGACUUGGGCCGUGAAACGCCAGGCCUGUUUCACCAGCGUCACUCCACAGGCCACAGGGACACAGGCCUCUCCCACUGGGCCUGGGCCUCCGAGGGGUGGGCUGUUAAUAUUGAAGAUCCUCCAUUUCUAAUGACCUAGAACUUACACGCGGUCAAGGUUUUGUUUGGCCUCCCUGUGAUUUUGAAAGGACUCAUGUGAAGUUUGCAGUGUUGUAUAAAGAAUCACACAACGGCCGUGGCUGGUGCGGCUCUGUGGACUGAGUGCUGGCCUGCGAACCAAGAAGUUGAUUCAGGGGUUUGAUUCCCAGUCAGCGCACACGCCUGGGUUGCAGGCCAGGUUUCCAGUGGGGGUGCACGAGAGGCAGCCGAUGGAUUGAUUUCUCUCUCACAUCCAUGUACCCAGCACGCAGGACCCAGCCCGAAGAGACAGCUUCAGAAUCGCCAUCUGGAGGGUCACAGAACCGCGCCGGGAAUGGUGGUUUCCCUGGGGGCUUCGAGAACGGCUGACAGGCAUCGGUCCACCUGCCACACCCCAGCAGACCACAAAGGGAACCAGGUCCCAGCGGACGGCACUGAGGACCUUCUCCAGCUCUGAGACACUAAUGUAGGAAUGUGCUCUAUGGCUCUCAGGGGCAAAACAGAAAAAAAAAGUUGUUUUAAUUGCGCGGUAGUCUUCAAACCCAGAAAAAGCAGGAGAUGCCCAGUCACCCGAGACCGCUCCCGGCCUGGGGAACUGACUGCGUGGCAGCUGCCAGCCCCCAAGUCUGGGAACCGCUGCCCCGCAGCAGAGCUACCAGCUGCCUCAAUGGUUUCGUCUCGAAAUGCUUCAUUUAAACGCCAGCCUUCAGAGUAGGCCGGAUGCUGAAGGAACUCAGCGUUCCAUCCUACCUGGGACAGAGAAACUCACUUUCACUGAGCGCCCACUCCACGCCCACACCUGCUGGGCCUGGGCACCGGGGGCCUGUGAACACGGCUCCGGGCGGCUACUCCUGCCCUUGCGCUGCUUCGCCUCCCGGAGAAACAACCAGAGAAAAGCACAAGGCGUCACUCACACUGUCAUCGCUGCUCUCAUCUGGGGGGCGAGGGGGCCACAGAGGGGCGUGCAGAGCCCGUCCCACCUCACAGGGCCACGGCCACAACCUGCUGCGUCUCGCUGCCCGCGCUUUCCCGGCACACUCGGUGUCACGUGACAAAUCCACUCUCACCAAGCACAGCCCACACAGGCUCCGGGCACAUCCCCCACAGCCUCAGUGUCCCAUUCGGCAGCACCCAAGGGUCCCCUGUAGAGCUGCGGCUCCCAGCAGCACAGGACACAGACAAUACGAGGGCCGCAUGCACCCACGCACGUCCCCUCCCCAGGACACCGACGUCCAUGCUGGGCAGACCGCCAACUGGACUUCUCGCUCAAACUCAGCACUGAGCCAUCUUCCACACGGAGCCCCAGACCAGAAGGAAAGGGCCCCGGGGGCGGGGGGGCACACACUGGGGAGCCCUCCAGACCACAGGCUUUUCUCAGGCGCAGCCACCCCCUCUCAGUGAGCCGGAGGAGGCCUCCACAGUCAGACCUGAAGGGGAGUGGCGGCCACACUCUCUCCCCAGCGUCACUGCGCACCGGCCACACGGCCCCUGUCGCCAGGGUGAGGGGCUCCACCGAAGGGUGAGGCGCGCAAGCGGCUUUCUAUCUGCAGAAUCCACCGCCGGGGGCGAGCCCAGCUUUCCCAAGAACUGCAGGUCAGCCAGGACCGCCGGGCGGCUGGGGGUGCCGUGCAGGGCACAGGGCAGAGCCACAAAGGCCGCUUCAGUUCAGCUUCAGUCCACCCUGGGGGAGGACACAGCCGUCGUCCGGACUCCAAGGGCAAAAAUCAGACACAUGCAGACCAGCCUGAGGAGGGGGGUGGGGCCGGCCCGAGGAAUGUGGCUCAGCAGUCCGCUGGGGCUCGGGACGUCCCCACCCUGGGAACACCAACCUUGACCAGAACCUCCCCGCGGGGCCUGACUAAGCAGGUCCCUGGGACUUCCCUGGAGGGAUGACACAUACAUGAGGGGCCCUGGGGACACAGUGGAACGGACUUGUCACACAGCCUGAAACUGUGUGCCCGAAAGGGGUGUAUUUUACUACAUGCAAAUUAUACUUCAACAAGUAAACCAAAAAAAAUGUUCUGAGGCCUCUCCUUGGGCCACGUUCCUAACUUCCCUUUAUGAAUCUGCACGCAGGGCGGCUGCCCGUCCGCCCCCCGUCCCCGCGCCUGAACCACGGACUUCCCCAGGACGCAGGCUUACUGCACUCACACCAGAGCAGCAGAGCAGUGCUGGGGCGGCCGGCUGCCCUCCCAGAACUCCGUGCCGUCCUGCUGCUGCGUCCUCCGGCUACUGGCCGGCGGCAGGGACGCUGGGGGAGGUGCCGCCCACAGGGAGAGGCACCAGCGCACAGUGGGGGCACAGGGAGGGGCCACAGACGGAGCCCCUGCGGAGGUUCCCAUCCACCCGGACUGACCGUGAAGCUCUCUACAGGGAGAGACGUGCGGCAUACGAACCGUCCCCCAGGUGCCCGUUGAGCUUCUGCCUCCACCCAACCCAGCGGCCGGAGCCGCCCUCGCACCAACAGCGAGGGUUGCGUGCAGGUCAGAGGAAAAGCCCGCACCCCGGUCAGGCGGUCAGGGGAGACGACGCCCCACCCGCCGCCUCGCGCUGCCGUGAGGUUAAGGACACGCAGCACUGCCACCGCUCCGCCACACCCCGCACACGGAGAGCACAGGCGUGAGCAGGCGUGCGACGGCAGUGGCCGGCCCGCCCCAUCGGCCCGCGCCUGUGACGGGGACGAGCGCUCACCCCC